UGAGCCACUGUGCCUGACCCUGU
rnacentral:miRNA from 1 species